rnacentral:rRNA from 1 species
AUACGUAGGUGGCAAGCGUUGUCCGGAAUUAUUGGGCGUAAAGCGCAUGUAGGCGGUUUGGUAAGUCGGUCGAGAACAUGCGGUGCUUAACGCCGUAUGGCGAUCGAAACUGCUGAACUUGAGUGCAGGAGAGGAAAGGGGAACUCCCAGUUUAGCGGUGAAAUGCGUAGAUAUUGGUAAGAACACCGGUGGCGAAUGCGCAUGUCGGGACUGUGUCUGACGCUCAGAUGCGAAAGUCAGGAGAGAGAAAGGGAGUAGUUCCCUUGUUUGCCUUGGGCGUAAAGGGUGGUUACAAGGGUUGGUAAGUUUUGCGUCCUCCCGUGCUGGAGUCACCGCAAUAAGUACCAAGCCUGGGGAGUGCGGCAGCAACGCUUAAGCUCAAAUGAAUUGACGGGG